CAGGUCGACCACCAGUCCCGGGGACCUCAGGGAGCGAACCAGAGGCUGUCCCCUCCGCCAGCAUCCUAGAAGGUCAAGAGCGAGUGUUGCUGAGCGCCUCCUUAAAGCUGCACAGAGUGCUCUCAAUCCCUUCCCCUGGAGCUCUGACCCGUAGUCCCCUGCACCAGCCUUGCCGAGCUCCUCCUUUCCUCCUCAGCUCAAUUCCUGCUCGUCCUUCCGGAGACCCAACCUGGCCACCUACUGGGCCUACAGAGGAGAUGCCCUUUCCUGUGCCCCGGUGGGGUACGGGGUGACAGGCCUGGUGCGUUUGUCCUUGUAGUUCCCUGAAAGCCAUGGACCCGGAAUUCGGAUUGAUCCCAGUACUUCUUUCCUAUUGGGACCCUCACCUCCCACUCUGUAAGAGGCCCCCUAGCCUCCCAGCCUGCAUCCAGUCACACCAGCCCCUGAAACGUGACCCACUUUGAAUGUGACCUACUUUUUUUUUUUUACAGAAAAACAAACAAAAAAUAACACUCAUGGGAAAACCUGAUUCAAAAUUUCGAUAACCAUUUUUCUUUGAAAUACUAUUCUGUUGCAUCACUGCUCAAAAGCUUGAAAGGACACAAUCCAACAAGGCAGGCUUGGGGUCUGGAAGACACCCUUCAUGAACGCAGAAAACACUGGUGCAGUCAGCUGGAGAAGGGGGACAGGAAAAUGGUUUAAUUGGGUACUUUCACCACUCCGGCCCCACUGUAGCAACCCACUGCCUUCAGCUAAGCCCCACGGUGGUUCUCAACCUUCUGAAUGCUGCAACCCUUUAAUACAUGUAUUAACCCCUAUAUUAUGGUGACACCCCCCAUUAAAUUAUUCUUGUUGCU
ensembl:lncRNA